UGGUCAAGUUAUUAAGGGUGCAGGGCGGAUGCCUUGGCACUAGGAGCCGAUGAAGGACGUGAUAAGCUGCGAUAAGCUUCGGGGAGUUGCACGUAAACUUUGAUCCGAAGAUUUCCGAAUGAGGAAACUCACUUAGAGUAAUGUCUAAGUAUCAUUAAGUAAAUACAUAGCUUAAUGAGGGGAACUCAGGGAACUGAAACAUCUAAGUACCUGAAGGAAGAGAAAGAAAUUCGAUUCCGUAAGUAGCGGCGAGCGAACGCGGAUUAGCCCAAACCAAUGAAGUUUUCUUUAUUGGGGUUGUGGACAUAUCAUAACGAAGAGGUAUCGUAAUUGAAGAGGUUUGGAAAGACCCACCACAGAAGGUAAUAGUCCUGUAUGUUAAACGAGAAGACUUUAGAUAUGAUCCAGAGUACCACGGGACACGUGAAACCCUGUGGGAAGCAGGAGGGACCACCCUCCAAGGCUAAAUACUACCUAGUGACCGAUAGCGUAUAGUACCGUGAGGGAAAGGUGAAAAGAACCCCGGGAGGGGAGUGAAAUAGAACCUGAAACCCUGCACUUACAAGCUGUGGAAGCACAUUUCUUGUGUGACCGCGUACUUUUUGUAGAACGGGCCAACGAGUUACGUUAAGUAGCAAGGUUAAGCACUUAAGGUGCGGAGCCGUAGCGAAAGCGAGUUUUAACUGAGCGUUCAGUUACUUGACGUAGACCCGAAACCGGGCGACCUACCCAUGAGCAGGAUGAAGCGAAAGUAAAAUUUCGUGGAGGUCCGAACCCACGAGCGUUGAAAAGCUCGGGGAUGACUUGUGGGUAGCGGUGAAAUUCCAAUCGAGCCCGGAGAUAGCUGGUUCUCCCCGAAAUAGCUUUAGGGCUAGCCUCAAGGUGAGAGAUACGGAGGUAGAGCACUGAAUGUCCUAGGGGGUAUUGCACCUACCGAAGACUAUCAAACUCCGAAUGCCGUCAUCUUAUACUUGGGAGUCAGACUGUGGGUGAUAAGAUUCAUAGUCGAAAGGGCAACAGCCCAGAUCGUCAGCUAAGGUCCCUAAAUGUAAGUUAAGUGGUAAAGGAUGUGGGAUUGCACAGACAACCAGGAUGUUGGCUUAGAAGCAGCCACUCAUUCAAAGAGUGCGUAAUAGCUCACUGGUCGAGUGAUCCUGCGCCGAAGAUUUCCGGGGCUAAAACUUACUACCGAAGCUACGGCAUCAGUAAUGAUGGGUAGGGGAGCUUCCCAUACGGGUUGAAGCAUGACCGUAAGGACAUGUGGACAGUAUGGGAGUGAGAAUGUUGGCAUGAGUAGCGAGAUGUGGGUGAGAAUCCCACAGGCCGUAAACCCAAGGUUUCCAGGGGAAGGUUCGUCCGCCCUGGGUUAGUCGGGACCUAAGCUGAGGCCGAAAGGCGUAGGUGAUGGACAACAGGUUGAUAUUCCUGUACUACCGAUAACCGUUUGAGAGAAGGGAUGACACAGUAGGAUAAGCUAAGCACACUGUUGGUUAUGUGUGCCCAAGCAUUGAGGCAGUCAAAGUAGGCAAAUCCGCUUUGAUAAUGCUGGGAUGUGAUGGGGAGCGAAAUUUAGUAGCGAAGUAGCUGAUUUCACACUGUCAAGAAAAGUCUCUAUCGAGGUUAAAGGUACCCGUACCGCAAACCGACACAGGUGGGUGAGGAGAGUAUCCUAAGGCCAGCGAGAGAACUGUUGUUAAGGAACUCGGCAAAAUGACCCCGUAACUUAGGGAUAAGGGGUGCCACCAUCAGGUGGCCGCAGAGAAUAGGCCCAAGCGACUGUUUACCAAAAACAUAGGUUUCUGCUAAGUCGCAAGACGAUGUAUAGGAGCUGACGCCUGCCCGGUGCUGGAAGGUUAAGGGGAUCUGUUAGAGCAAUCGAAGCAGUGAACUUAAGCCCCAGUAAACGGCGGCCGUAACUAUAACGGUCCUAAGGUAGCGAAAUUCCUUGUCGGGUAAGUUCCGACCCGCACGAAAGGCGUAACGAUUUGGGCACUGUCUCAACAACAGACUCGGUGAAAUUGUAAUUCCGGUGAAGAUGCCGGAUACCUGCGACAGGACGGAAAGACCCCAUGGAGCUUUACUGUAGCUUGACAUUGGGUCUUGGUACUACAUGUACAGGAUAGGUGGGAGGCUUUGAAACCAGGACGCCAGUUUUGGCGGAGCCAUCCUUGGGAUACCACCCUUGUAGUACUGGGACUCUAACCAUAGGCCAUGAAUCUGGUCUUGGGACACUGUCAGGUGGGCAGUUUGACUGGGGCGGUCGCCUCCCAAAAGGUAACGGAGGCGCUCAAAGGUUCUCUCAGUACGGUCGGAAAUCGUACGUAGAGUGUAAAGGCAAAAGAGAGCUUGAUUGCAAGACAUACAGGUCGAGCAAGGAUGAAAAUCGGACUUAGUGAUCCGGUGGUUCUGCGUGGAAGGGCCAUCGCUCAACGGAUAAAAGCUACCCUGGGGAUAACAGGCUUAUCUCCCCCAAGAGUCCACAUCGACGGGGAGGUUUGGCACCUCGAUGUCGGCUCAUCACAUCCUGGGGCUGUAGUAGGUCCCAAGGGUUGGGCUGUUCGCCCAUUAAAGUGGUACGCGAGCUGGGUUCAGAACGUCGUGAGACAGUUCGGUCCCUAUCCGUCGCAGGCGUAGGAAAUUUGAGAAGACCUGUCCUUAGUACGAGAGGACCGGGAUGGACGUACCUCUGGUGUACCAGUUGUCCUGCCAAGGGCAUGGCUGGGUAGCUAUGUACGGAAUGGAUAAGCGCUGAAAGCAUCUAAGCGCGAAGCCAACUUCAAGAUAAGAUUUCCCACCGCAAGGGUAAGACCCCAGAAAGACUAUCUGGUUGAUAGGUCGAAGGUGUAAGUGCAGCAAUGUAUUUAGCUUAUCGAUACUAAUAGGUCGAGGACUUGACCAAU
rnacentral:rRNA from 1 species